AAUAAAUCCACAUAAAAAUGAACACAGAUGUUAGGACUGACAUGUUGAAGUCGCUCCCCUUUAACGCAGGACCGUACAUGUAUAAUGUACGUGUAUUUCUGGUUCCCGUGUUGAAUUGUAUCGGUGGAGGCAGGCUUCGAGGAAGAAAAAAAAAAAGGAAAAAAAAUCUCAUUAUUAGUGCCAGGAAGAAAUCCUCUUUGCUCUGGGCUGCGUGUUGUGGGUGUUGGAGCAGUGGGGAGGUGGGGGUUGAAUAGAGCGUAGAGCUCUGUGUGUGUGUGUGUGUGUGUGUGUGUGUGGAAGGAGAAGAGAAUGGAAAUGCAGAGAGAGGACUGCGAGAGAGAUACUGGAGUCAGUCAACCUGAUCGCCAACAAAUUUAGUAGGAAAGAAAUCGGAAGCAAAGCGACGGCCGAGCUAUAACUCCACCCCGAGGAUGAAUGGUGCGGAAAACAAAAAAAAACAUCCGGGACUACAGGCGAAAAACACUAUGUCGGAUGAGAACGAAAGAUGGGUUCAAGCUGGCAGGGAGGCUGUAGCGACUCUUUACAAGCGUGAUGGCUGAUGUCUUAACAAGGUGUUCAGACACAACAAGCCACUGUCCUUCCAAAAUGGUUGAUGUUUUGAUGAUGGUCAUGGAGAGCACUGGAUUACAGAUCAGUCCACAAUCUUCCACAUGUAUUCAGCUGGGUUGAGAUUUGGUAUGGGCAGAGUCAUCCUACAGGAGACCACACCCAUCAAGAGAGAAAUGGUUCACCAUAGGAUAAAGGUGUUGAUUUACAGUGGCACUUCCCUUUAAGAGGACAAGCGGACCCAAACCAUGCCAGCCAAAUACAUUAACAUUUAAAUAAAUUUCCUAUUAGUGAGUUGAAGAGUUAAGGAAUGAGACACUGCUUAAUAUUAUUGGCAUAGAAAAGAUGUUUAAUGUUGUCCGGUCCACAUUUUUAUUCUGUCCUAGCAAACACACCUGGGUCAGGUUAUCAAGGCGUGUUAGGAGGUGGAACAGAAUGAAAAUGUGAACUGGUAAUUUAUCUGACUGCAUUAGGAUCCCAUGUCCCAUGUAAGUAAGCAUACCCAGCUGAGGUAUUUACAAUCCACAUGGCACCGCCUCUGCAAUCGCUUUUGUUUAAAGUUGCUGACUUAAUUUAUGGAGGGUAAACAGUGACAAAGUGGAGUUCCUGCAAGGUUCAGCUGAAAGAAAACGACAAGGGAUGACAGCAAUCUUCUGGCCUAAAUCUUCAUCUAAACCGCAGUGAUUGACCAGCGUCCCCAUGCCAACGAGCAUCGCAUUAUAGCUGUAAUCCAUUUUUGCAGAUGUAGAGUGGACAUCUGCAGCUGAUGCACUGCGAGACAGACAGAGGUACAGCGUAAUGUCUAAGGAUAUCUGGAUUUCACUGCUCACUUCACAGCGAGACUAAACAAACGUUUACUUCUGGUUUGCUUUGAAAGUGACACACAGUCUAUGCUGACAUUGUUCAGUAGUUUAGGGUCGUUUGAUAGUAAGUCCAAUUUAUCUAGACCUUAAAACCGUAGACUAUGCUUGAGCUUUUGCCCACCAUUCUCUGUAUUAUCAGGCUUCUACUUAUAAUAAAUACAACAGGCAACCAUUUACUGGUCAUGGUCUCUGCAUGGAAGGGAUAGCAGUACUCCCCCUCCUGUCAAUCUGCAUGACACUGACUAAUUUUGUACGUCUCUGAGCUCAUGUAUGUAUGUAAGUAUGUGUAAGAGGGAAGAUUGCACUUUCUUUCAGCUGUGUGCAGUUGCUCUGUGAUGUUCAAAAAGAUAUGGGUGCUGACUUCUUGUAGAUACUGUGGAAGAACAUUGGUUGCUGUGGUGUGAUUGGCAAGAGAUGGCUAGAGGGUGGCAAAUGUCAAAUGGCCAAAUUAGGAGAAAAUGUGGUUUAAAAAAGCAAUCAUGCAUGCCAAUCAGGGCUUAUUUUCAUGGCGUCAUAAUAGAUCAAGUAAUGUCAUUUGCUAUGUAAAUGGAAGCAGAAUUUUUGAUCAUGGGACAUUCUAUGGUUUAAUAUUCUGUCGGAGAAUAUAUCAUUCAUCCAACUUAGUUGUUUAAGCCAUUACUGUCGUAACCAUUUGUGAUUCAGCAAAACAAAAUGUCUUUUCCAAACCAAAACUUAGAAGACUGAGUGCAAAAACAAAACAAAACAAAACAAAAAAAGCCUGCAAAUUGUACUUUUUCAGUUCUAGCAGCUAGGCCAGGGGUGUGGACCCAAGGAUUUGCAUUUUCCCUCCUCUGACACACUGAAUUAAACUCAUUAAGAGCAAGAGCUGUGUCUCAAAUCAUAUAAAACAGAACUACAAACUGAGCAAUAAAAACAUAUAUAAUAUUAUACAUUGUAGAUUAUAGAUUCAGAGCAUUAGACAGUUUUUUUUUUAAUUCUUGCUCAUUACCUUAUCUUGUGUUCUUAAAUUGUUGGAAGAAAUGAAUGUUUCUUAAGUUUCUUUCUUUACUUUUGCACUUUAUCUACAAACAGCUUGUAAUGGAAGUCUUAUUCAUUCAUUCAUCAUCAGAAAGCUCUUUAUCCUGAUAAGGUUAUCAUGAUAAGGAUCCAGAGUCUAUCCUGGGAAUGGGAAUCUGGAUGGGACGCCAGAUCAUCACACAUUCGCACACUCAGGAGCAAUCCACCUUGUUUUCUGGGAGUUGGAGAAAACCGGAGAACCCAGAGGAAAACCACAUGAACAAGGGAAGGAAGAACAUGUUAAAUAUUUGGUCAGUAACUUAAGCUAAGCAUCAAACCAGGGACACUGAAGCUGUGAGGCAACAACGCUACCUUCUGCUGCCCCUGGAAGUCUUAUAUCUCUCAAAAUCUUGUCCACUAAUACACACCCAUAUCUGUACUUAUAUAUUUAACUGCAACUAUAUUAUCAUCUGUAUCACUUCCAGCUUUACAAUGCAGUUCCACCUUUAAAUGUUUGAAGGUUGAGUUUAGUAGGUCCGAUAAUACUAAACUACACUAAGUAAAAAAGUGAUUUGAUUUGGUUGUCCAAGAUGACUGCCAUAAAAUACAAUUGCGGCAUUGAGCUACAGUACACGGUGAAGUCUUGCUCAUGUUUAUACUACUAAAAAACACUCUGUCCUAAACUAUACUGGUAAGUUUGCAUCACUUUCCUCAAAAAUGGGCAUGUGUAUGUAAAAGACUACAUUUGAGGUAAAUUGAAAAUGGUGUAAAUUUGAUCCCCAAUACACGGUUCUAUUAACCCUAUGUUUACACUAGCAAGCAACAAGUCGCUCAUGUCGCAUGUAGUUUGUCUCUUGUGGGCAUGUAGCAACCACUACUGGUGUUGCUUAUGUUUGGUUGUGUUUGUUGUUGUUGUUGUUGCUGUUCCACUGAGGAAACAUAGACACCAAAAUCUAUAGCUUGAUUAAAAAACAUUUGUUUAAAAUGUAUUUAAGUUUGAUUUACAUGUUACAUGCUAGACUUCGUAUAUCGCAGAUAAGCUGUACUAGCUACACACACUCGCCAGAAGCCCCAACGAUCUUUCCUUCGUCCUUCCAAGCUUUAUUUUUCUUUGUAAUGUCUCUAUACACGUUUAACGAUAGGUUGACAGGUAUAUGACAGGAUAAGAAGAAACCACGGUAGUAAGUUUUUCUGAAACGUUUUCCAUACAUCAAAAUUGAAACAAGGAAUAAAGUUCUGAGCGGGGAAAUCAGGAAACAUGUGGCACAGGACUGGUCGCUUUUUGUUUGUUGCUUGCUAGCGUCAACAUAGGCUUAGUCAGCUAGCCGACGUCAAGUGAAUACUGUCACUGCUAUUUGCGGGGGUUUUUUACCGUAAUACAAAAAAAAAAAUUCUGCUUAAUUAUCAUGUACAGACCGCCACAAAAACAUGUUCUAUGUCUAUACUAGUCCGUUAUACAGACUUUUACGUGUUAGGCUAUAUCGUGGUAUAAAAUUACUUUGCGGUAAAUCAAGAACAUAACUCCGCAGUACCCUCACCCUCCGUGACUGGAAUCUGACACUUCUGACCCAGACCUAUAAGAUCAAAGAGCAUUGCGUCUCGCCACUUUUCUCCACAAACAGGACGUAUAGGCUAUUGAACACACCAUGCACCGAGGCUAAGAGAUGCAAAGCAUCUGAGACAUGAACACACUGAGCUGAACCUUAGCUGUAAUAUAAAUAGUCCUAUUCUGUGGUUAAUUUUUUUUUUUUUUUUUAGUACUGUAAUGACUCACACUGCAAGUCUCACAGGCGAGAAGAAACGAUAAUCUAGCAAAUGGAAGUCAAUCUGAUCUGAAUAAUUUAUAACUUUUUAACACAGAUGAGUGACACUGUAAUCUAUAUAUACCUGACAUAUGACACAUAUGAUGUGCAACCAUGUAUUGUUUUGG
ensembl:lncRNA